rnacentral:lncRNA from 1 species
AAUGAUAUGCUACAGGAAAAACAUGGAAAUCACUUCAUGGGAGAUACCGCACGUGACCACUUGUAUAUGCUAUGAUUCAACCAGCCAUUUAUAACCAGAACCCAAUAUGCAUCACAGCUGACGAUACCUGCUGGAAGGGAAAGUAUCAAGAGGCCUUCUGACUAGUGCUGCCUAAACCUCUUCGCUACCAAGGUUGCACUUGACGAUGUUAAACUUGCAUAGUGGACAUGUCGCGAUUAUGUGAAGUCACUUCUCUAUGCAGGUGCAGUGGAAAUGAUGAUUACAGGGGAGUUCUCGCAGCUCAACACCAUCUUCAUACGGGCAUAGGCAGAUGCAACACUCCUGUAUUGACAAGUAUAAAUGUUGAUCAGGACAUAUUAUAAUGACAGUUUGGUGUUUGGCAGAUUUGAGUGGGCCAGGGUGUGCCCACGUUAAGUUGCUCCAUGGGGCCUCCAAUAUUUUCCUAGUGUCUGUAGGGAACAUGCACACAUUUUCAUGCGUACGGUCUACGGUGGCACCGCUGUGGUGUGUGUGGGCUAUGUGUCCCCUUUUGUACUGUUUAUCAUUACCAUUCUACUCCCUCCGUUUCUAAAUAUUUGUCUUUCUAGACAUUUCAACAAGUAACUACAUACGGAGCAAAAUGAGUGAAUCUACACUCUAAAAUAUGUCUACAUACAUCCGUAUGUGGUAGUCAUUUGAAAUGUUUAGAAAGACAAAUAUUUAGGAACGGAGGGAGUAGUACUUAAUUGCAUAGCCUCCUCUAACUGGAAAAACUACCAUGUUAGUUAUAGCUCUGGGCAGAUUAAGGGCCAUUGGAUGGAUAUAUUCAUGCAAGCCUAAAAAAACGGUUAACUUGGAACCCAAGUUGUUGCCUAUAAUAUGAUGAGUAAAUUAAUCAUGAAAAUAUUUCCACAAUACUAGCAAUAACCAUAUUGACAUUGACAUUAAAAAGUAAUAGUCAUUCUGUAGUGACUGGAGGGAAUACAGGAUCAGUUUACUGAAAUUACCCUAAAUCCUUGUAACAAACUUAAUUCUAAAAGGCAUUUCUAGUACGUUAUGAUGUGACCAUGGAUCAUGAGUAACUUAGGAUGAGAAUAGUAAUAAGAUUGAUAAAUUAUAUUAAAAAAAUUCUAUUCAAGAACUUACAGCAUCCUCAGCUGAAAGAAUGUGCUCAAUGGGAGGGUCGGUGCCACACUCGGUCGUUACUCCACAAACCGGUGCUGCAAUUCCAGCAACCAGCUUGUCUGCAUCACCCAUUGUCCGAAACAUGUAUUUUGAUAGGAUAUUAAUAUCCUCCUCGGAUGCUCCUUCCUGCU